rnacentral:rRNA from 1 species
GAUGAACGCUGGCGGCGUGCCUAAUACAUGCAAGUAGAACGCUGAAGGAGGAGCUUGCUCUUCUGGAUGAGUUGCGAACGGGUGAGUAACGCGUAGGUAACCUGCCUGGUAGCGGGGGAUAACUAUUGGAAACGAUAGCUAAUACCGCAUGACAACAGUUAUUGCAUGAUAACUGUUUAAAAGGGGCAACUGCUCCACUACCAGAUGGUCCUGCGUUGUAUUAGCUAGUUGGUGAGGUAACGGCUCACCAAGGCGACGAUACAUAGCCGACCUGAGAGGGUGAUCGGCCACACUGGGACUGAGACACGGCCCAGACUCCUACGGGAGGCAGCAGUAGGGAAUCUUCGGCAAUGGACGGAAGUCUGACCGAGCAACGCCGCGUGAGUGAAGAAGGUUUUCGGAUCGUAAAGCUCUGUUGUAAGAGAAGAACGAGUGCGAGAGUGGAAAGUUCACACUGUGACGGUAUCUUACCAGAAAGGGACGGCUAACUACGUG